UACCACACACAGCCACACCCCACUACACCGACAGUCUCAAGUGAAAGAGGGUGCCGCACACUCUCGAGUGCAAACGUACGUGGACGCACACUCAGACUACCUGUGUUUAGGGUCUACAGACACCCGCCCUCCUUUCUGGCAACCUCCCCCCUACUCACUUCCAGCCUGCCCUCGUUUUUUGUCACCCCACCCUGGAGUUUGAGACACCAAGAGAAGGGUUGGGUGCAAACACCUGGCAAAAAAUCACGGAAUGGUCACACAAACACGAAAUCACUCAAGAUACCAACGGGAGGCUGGGGGGAGGGUGCAGGGGGGCUCCCUCCUUCCGCGGUUUCCUCCUUCAUCGCCCAGGCCUCCUCCCUCUGUCCCCUGACAAAAAAUCACCGAGCCCAGCUCAAAUCGAUUGUUUUAUUGACUGUUUGCAUACAGACGCGUUUAGAAAAGGGCACGGGCUCUGGGUGCUACUCCGUCCCAGGCCCGCGCUUGCGCUGCGCUUCGCGAAGACCGCAGAUCCCGAGGACUGAAACUCCCCCAACCCCAACCCCGACGCUUUCUUUCAAAAUGGAAAAAAGAACCCCGCCCCCAGUCGCCGCGCCGCGCCCCUCCCUUUCCCUCCCUCCCCGCCCAUCUGCACCCCCGCCCGCCCCCCUACACUACACGGUCACACUUUACAGGACACAGACUUUUCUCCUACAGGGCACGCUUGUCAGGGACUACACGCCGGGCAAACAACGAUUCCCGCCGAAGCAGGGGCGGGUGGGGCGGGGCGACGCGAGGACCGAGACGAGAGGACAGAGGGGCUCGGCUCCAUCCGGAUCCCACCGCACAGUCGCACAGUCACGCGCAGGCUUUGUGCGAACUAGGGCGCGAGCCCUCCCGAGGGCCGUGGCCUGGGAGGCCACAGUCAGCUUCCUCCGCCUCUGGCGCUUUCCAGCUGGGUCUGGGUCGGGUGGAUCCGCAGGAGCGGCGCUGUUGGGCGCACAGACCUGCGGAAAGCCCAACACACGGAUAACGAAAUUGGCCCGGGACCAAGUCCACGCGCUCAGCCGCCAAGAGGCGCGCGGUCCUGCGGCGCUUUAA
rnacentral:lncRNA from 1 species